rnacentral:rRNA from 1 species
UACGAAGGGGGCUAGCGUUGCUCGGAAUCACUGGGCGUAAAGCGCACGUAGGCGGCUUUCUAAGUCAGGGGUGAAAUCCUGGAGCUCAACUCCAGAACUGCCUUUGAUACUGGGGAGCUCGAGUCCGGAAGAGGUGAGUGGAACUCCGAGUGUAGAGGUGAAAUUCGUAGGUAUUCGGAAGAACACCAGUGGCGAAGGCGGCUCACUGGUCCGGUACUGACGCUGAGGUGCGAAAGCGUGGGGAGCGAACAGG